AGAGGGACAGACAGUUCAUCAUCAGGUCCUUUAUGUCUCACCUAUCCUCAGGUCCUGGUCUACAUUCAGUUGUUUCAGCUUUUUGUAGUCCUAGCAGAGGAAUUCGGCUCUUUUUACGCCGAUAAAACUACAAACCCCAUGAUGCAACCCUGAGAAAAUGUAUCUUCUGUCUGUUCGGUUGAGGAAAUUAAAAUCUGAAGCCUGUUUCCACCAGCAGCUGCUUCCUCGCGUCAGAGUUCAGGUUUAACACCAGACUCUGCUAGAAAAAAAGAGGAUUUUAAUUGAUGCCUGAAGCCUUCGUCAGUAACGGCGACGAAGAUGAUGUUGACACCUAAAAAUAUCCAGUAUGUUCAGUGUGACUGAUUCAAGGUGUUUUUCUCUAUUUAAGUCUUGGGUCUAAAUAAUAAGGGUCCAAAACCUUGUUUUAUGAAGUCUUACAGAGUAUUUCUAAAAACACUGAGCAGCAAAGCUCCGUUUUAUUUGACAUUCAACAUAAACAUGCAGAGAAGACUGGAGACUCUUCUGAGACAAUACGAUAAUUACAAAAACCCACAAGACUGUCAGACUUCCUUCACAGCGCCCCUGCUGGCCACUGGACGCAUUGCAGGCUCAGGGCCCAAAGUCCUGCAGCCUAAUCAGGUUAAACUAAACUAGUCCUGCAGCCUAAUCAGGUUAAACUAAAUUAAACUAGUCCUGCAGCCUAAUCAGGUUAAACUAAACUAAACUAGUCCUGCAGCCUAAUCAGGUUAAACUAAACUAGUCCUGCAGCCCAAUGAGGUCAAACUAAACUAAACUAGUCCUGCAGCCCAAUGAGAUCAAACUAAACUAGUCCUGCAGCCCAAUGAGGUCAAACUAAACUAGUCCUGCAGCCCAAUGAAGUUAAACUAAACUAAACUAGUCCUGCAGCCUAAUCAGGUUAAACUAAACUAGUCCUGCAGCCCAAUGAGGUCAAACUAAACUAGUCCUGCAGCCCAAUGAAGUCAAACUAAACUAGUCCUGCAGCCUAAUGAGGUUAAACUAAACUAAACUAGUCCUGCAGCCCAAUGAGGUCAAACUAAACUAGUCCUGCAGCCCAAUGAGGUCAAACUAAACUAGUCCUGCAGCCUAAUGAGGUCAAACUAAACUAAACUAGUCCUGCAGCCCAAUGAGGUCAAACUAAACUAAACUAGUCCUGCAGCCUAAUCAGGUUAAACUAAACUAGUCCUGCAGCCCAAUGAGGUCAAACUAAACUAAACUAAACUAGUCCUGCAGCCCAAUGAGGUCAAACUAAACUAAACUAGUCCUGCAGCCCAAUGAGGUCAAACUAAACUAGUCCUGCAGCCCAAUGAGGUCAAACUAAACUAGUCCUGCAGCCCAAUGAGGUCAAACUAAACUAAACUAGUCCUGCAGCCCAAUGAGGUGAAACUAAACUAAACUAGUCCUGCAGCCCAAUGAGGUCAAACUAAACUAGUCCUGCAGCCCAAUGAGGUCAAACUAAACUAGUCCUGCAGCCUAAUGAGGUCAAACUAAACUAGUCCUGCAGCCUAAUGAGGUCAAACUAAACUAAACUAGUCCUGCAGCCCAAUGAGGUCAAACUAAACUAGUCCUGCAGCCCAAUGAGGUCAAACUAAACUAGUCCUGCAGCCUAAUGAGGUCAAACUAAACUAAACUAGUCCUGCAGCCCAAUGAGGUCAAACUAAACUAAACUAGUCCUGCAGCCUAAUGAGGUCA